CCCUGUGGCUCAGUUGGUAGAGCAUGGUGUUUGCAACGCUAGCAUGGUGUGUGUAAUGCCAGGGUUGUGGGUUCGAUUCCCACAGGGG
rnacentral:tRNA from 1 species